rnacentral:lncRNA from 1 species
CGAAAAUAGAGAAGAGCCAGUGGAAAUUGGUGAAGAUAGAGGCAAAAAUUCGGAAAGAGCCAGUGGAAAUUGGUGAAGAUAGAGGUGAAAAUUUAAAACCCAGUGGAAAUUGGUGAAGAUAGAGGCGAAAAUGUAAAACCCCGUGGGAAUUGGUGAAGCUAGAGGCGGCAAUUCAGACGAGCCGGUGGCAGGGGCGAAGCUGGAGGCCGGCGAGGCGGGAGCCCCGGGCGCGGAGCACGG